rnacentral:rRNA from 1 species
AUUGAACGCUGGCGGCAGGCCUAACACAUGCAAGUCGAGCGGAGCGGCGGACGGGUGAGUACUGCCUAGGAAUCUGCCUGGUAGUGGUGGAUAACGUCCGGAAACGGAAGCUAAUACCGCAUACUAUCAGCUGAGCCUAGGUCCGAUUAGCUAGUUGGGGGGGUAAAGGCCUACCAAGCCGACGAUCCUUAACUGGGCUGAGAGGAUGACCAGUCAAACUGGAACUGAGACACGGCCCAGACGCAUACGGGAGGCAGCAGUGGGGAAUCUUGGGCAAUGGGCGAAAGCCUGACCGAGCAACGCCGCGUGAGUGAAGAAGGUUUUCGGAUCGUAAAACUCUGUUGGUAGAGAAGCGGUAACUAACCAGAAAGCAACGGCUAACUACGUGCCAGCAGCCGCGGUAAUAC